UACGUAGGGUGCAAGCGUUUGUCCGGAAUUAUUGGGCGUAAAGAGCUCGUAGGCGGUCUGUCGCGUCGGAUGUGAAACCUCGGGGCUCAACCCCGAGCCUGCAUUCGAUACGGGCAGACUAGAGUUCGGUAGGGGAGACUGGAAUUCCUGGUGUAGCGGUGAAAUGCGCAGAUAUCAGGAGGAACACCGGUGGCGAAGGCGGGUCUCUGGGCCGAUACUGACGCUGAGGAGCGAAAGCGUGGGGAGCGAACAGG
rnacentral:rRNA from 1 species